AUACGGAGGGUGCAAGCGUUAUUCGGAAUCACUGGGCGUAAAGGACGCGUAGGCGGGUUGGCAAGUCAGAUGUGAAAUCCUACAGCUUAACUGUAGAACUGCAUUUGAAACUGCUAACCUAGAGUAUGGGAGGGGGAGAUGGAAUUAGUGGCGUAGGGGUAAAAUCCGUAGAUAUCACUAGGAUUACCGAAAGCGAAGGCGAUCUCCUGGAACAUAACUGACGCUAAGGCGUGAAAGCGUGGGGAGCAAACAGGAUUAGAAACCCGAGUAGUCC
rnacentral:rRNA from 1 species